GUGCCAGCAGCCGCGGUAAUACGGAGGGUGCGAGCGUUAAUCGGAAUUACUGGGCGUAAAGGGCGCGUAGGCGGUCGCGCAAGUCGGGUGUGAAAGCCCCGAGCUCAACCUGGGAAUUGCAUUCGAUACUGCGUAACUAGAGUCUGGUAGAGGGAAGCGGAAUUCCGCAUGUAGCGGUGAAAUGCGUAGAUAUGCGGAGGAACACCAGUGGCGAAGGCGGCUUCCUGGACCAAGACUGACGCUGAGGCGCGAAAGCGUGGGGAGCAAACAGGAUUAGAUACCCUGGUAGUCCACGCCCUAAACGAUGAGGACUAGACGUUGGGGGGAUAAAACCCUUUAGUGUCGCAGCUAACGCGUGAAGUCCUCCGCCUGGGGAGUACGGCCGCAAGGUUGAAACUCAAGGGAAUUGACGG
rnacentral:rRNA from 1 species